rnacentral:rRNA from 1 species
UACGGAGGGGGUUAGCGUUGUUUGGAAUUACUGGGCGUAAAGCGCGCGUAGGCGGAUUAGAAAGUUGGGGGUGAAAUCCCGGGGCUCAACCCCGGAACUGCCUCCAAAACUAUUAGUCUAGAGUUCGAGAGAGGUGAGUGGAAUUCCGAGUGUAGAGGUGAAAUUCGUAGAUAUUCGGAGGAACACCAGUGGCGAAGGCGGCUCACUGGCUCGAUACUGACGCUGAGGUGCGAAAGUGUGGGGAGCAAACAGG